rnacentral:tRNA from 1 species
GAGGGUGUAGCUCAGUGGUAGAGUGCGUGCUUAGCAGGCAUGAGGUCCUGGGUUCAAUCCCCAGUACUUCCA